GACUGCGCCCCUCCAUCUCCCAGAGGCCUCCGCGGCACCGCAGCCGUAGGGGUGGGGUUUGUGUGCUGAAGAUGGCAGUUAAGGUGGUGACUUUGGCCAAUUUGGAGGAAGAAGACUGUGUGGGAAGAAGGAUGAGGAGGAGGAAAGAACCUUAACAAAGAAGAAAAGGGCAGGUGGA